rnacentral:rRNA from 1 species
UGAGAGUCAAAGAGUGCUUGAAAUUGUCGGGAGGGAAGCGGAUGGGGGCCGGCGAUGCGCCUCGGUCGGAUGCGGAACGGCGAGAGCCGGUCCGCCGAUCGACUCGGGGCGCGGACCGAUGCGGAUUGCGGCGGCGGCCCAAGCCCGGGCUGUCGAUAUGCCCGUGGAGACGUCGUCGCCGCGAUUGUGGUAGGCAGCGCGCGCCGUCCCGGCGUGCCUCGGCAUCUGCGCGCUCCUGGCGUCGGCCCGCGGGCUCCCCAUUCGGCCCGUCUUGAAACACGGACCAAAGGAGUCUGA